GGUCAAGUUAUUAAGGGUGCAGGGCGGAUGCCUUGGCACUAGGAGCCGAUGAAGGACGUGAUAAGCUGCGAUAAGCUUCGGGGAGUUGCACGUAAACUUUGAUCCGAAGAUUUCCGAAUGAGGAAACUCACUUAGAGUAAUGUCUAAGUAUCAUUAAGUGAAUACAUAGCUUAAUGAGGGGAACUCAGGGAACUGAAACAUCUAAGUACCUGAAGGAAGAGAAAGAAAUUCGAUUCCGUAAGUAGCGGCGAGCGAACGCGGAUUAGCCCAAACCAAUAAAGUUUUCUUUAUUGGGGUUGCGGACAUAUCAUAACGAAGAGGUAUCGUAAUUGAAGAGGUUUGGAAAGACCCACCACAGAAGGUAAUAGUCCUGUAUGUUAAACGAGAAGACUUCAGAUAUGAUCCAGAGUACCACGGGACACGUGAAACCCUGUGGGAAGCAGGAGGGACCACCCUCCAAGGCUAAAUACUACCUAGUGACCGAUAGCGUAUAGUACCGUGAGGGAAAGGUGAAAAGAACCCCGGGAGGGGAGUGAAAUAGAACCUGAAACCCUGCACUUACAAGCUGUGGAAGCACAUUUCUUGUGUGACCGCGUACUUUUUGUAGAACGGGCCAACGAGUUACGUUAAGUAGCAAGGUUAAGCACUUAAGGUGCGGAGCCGUAGCGAAAGCGAGUUUUAACUGAGCGUUCAGUUACUUGACGUAGACCCGAAACCGGGCGACCUACCCAUGAGCAGGAUGAAGCGAAAGUAAAAUUUCGUGGAGGUCCGAACCCACGAGCGUUGAAAAGCUCGGGGAUGACUUGUGGGUAGCGGUGAAAUUCCAAUCGAGCCCGGAGAUAGCUGGUUCUCCCCGAAAUAGCUUUAGGGCUAGCCUCAAGGUGAGAGAUACGGAGGUAGAGCACUGAAUGUCCUAGGGGGUAUUGCACCUACCGAAGACUAUCAAACUCCGAAUGCCGUCAUCUUAUACUUGGGAGUCAGACUGUGGGUGAUAAGAUUCAUAGUCGAAAGGGCAACAGCCCAGAUCGUCAGCUAAGGUCCCUAAAUGUAAGUUAAGUGGUAAAGGAUGUGGGAUUGCACAGACAACCAGGAUGUUGGCUUAGAAGCAGCCACUCAUUCAAAGAGUGCGUAAUAGCUCACUGGUCGAGUGAUCCUGCGCCGAAGAUUUCCGGGGCUAAAACUUACUACCGAAGCUACGGCAUCAGUAAUGAUGGGUAGGGGAGCUUCCCAUACGGGUUGAAGCAUGACCGUAAGGACAUGUGGACAGUAUGGGAGUGAGAAUGUUGGCAUGAGUAGCGAGAUGUGGGUGAGAAUCCCACAGGCCGUAAACCCAAGGUUUCCAGGGGAAGGUUCGUCCGCCCUGGGUUAGUCGGGACCUAAGCUGAGGCCGAAAGGCGUAGGUGAUGGACAACAGGUUGAUAUUCCUGUACUACCGAUAACCGUUUGAGAGAAGGGAUGACACAGUAGGAUAAGCUAAGCACACUGUUGGUUAUGUGUGCCCAAG
rnacentral:rRNA from 1 species